rnacentral:rRNA from 1 species
CCUACGGGAGGCAGCAGUGAGGAAUAUUGGUCAAUGGCCGGAAGGCUGAACCAGCCAAGCCGCGUGAAGGACAAAGGUGCCAAGCAUUGUAAACUUCUUUUGUCAAGGGACAAAAUCAGGCUCGAGAGCCUGACCGAGGGUACUUGAAGAAAAAGCAUCGGCUAACUCCGUGCCAGCAGCCGCGGUAAUACGGAGGAUGCGAGCGUUAUCCGGAUUUAUUGGGUUUAAAGGGUGCGUAGGCGGGCUGUUAAGUCAGCGGUAAAAGCCCGGGGCUCAACCCCGGCGAGCCGUUGAAACUGGCUGUCUUGAGAUGUCGAGAGGUAUGCGGAAUGCGCAGUGUAGCGGUGAAAGGCUUAGAUAUUGCGCAGAACUCCGAUUGCGAAGGCAGCAUACCGGCGGCGAUCUGACGCUGAGGCACGAAAGCGUGGGUAUCGAACAGGAUUAGAUACCCCUGUAGUC